UCAAAAAUGACAUAUUCGAGAACGUGUGUUUUAUAACUAGCUUUUGAGCAUGCACUUGUAUUGUUACUCAGGUGUACCAUCUUGACAUCUCGAAAUAAUCUAACCGUUUUCUAAGUGUCUAGUGUUUAGAGUCUAGGCAAAGUGUCUGUAAGCUUACAAUUGAAGACGAAGGUAAUCCAGCACGGAGUUCCUAGAUAAACUAUAUCUUCAUGAGCAAAAAUACGAUGAGUGCCACGUACGAGUCGUAAAAAACGCUAAAACGUAAAAUUGUGUGUCUUAAACUAUAACGGCCACUAAAUACAUUACUUAGAACUGAAUUUAUGAUUUGUUUUGCUUUUUCCAGCCAAAUUCUUCAUCUGCCUGUCUAGUUCUCAUCUGUGAAAACCAUGACGCAUUAAAGUAGCGUUUCCAUGUCACGUUCUUUUCGGAUAAAUGCUUCGAUUCCGUCAGUUGUUGAAUCGGAAGCUUAGAUUGAAUUUUUUUUCACAUACUUAAUAACCAACACAGUCAGUAAAUAAACAACGGGAGAAUAACGUACUGUGAGUGGCAGAGAUUCACAUUCACGUAGCGAAAACAUGUGAGAUUCCUGAGCGAAUUCCUAACUGGAUUCUUAUUCUGGAGCCAAAAUGGACCAGCAUUGUAAAGGUUUAGUAUCGAUUACUAUUUUUUCAGAACUUUUUCUUCGUUCCAUUGAUGAAUGGUGCCACAGCGCAAUGAGGACUAGUGUUUUUUUUUUUUCAAACGCAAGAAACAUUACACGAAGAACACGAAGAUGAGUUCAUUCGAACCAACGGCUCAAUGCCAAGGAGGGUGAGGAGACUGCGUCGAUAAUAACCAGAAGUAUCUUCCUAUUGUUGAAUAUCAACGUUUCAGAAUGGAUAUGUAUGCUAGCAGAAAAGAACUUACUUUUACGGCGUCAAAGAGCGCUUUGCCAUACAUGCAUUCGUACUCGUACAUAAUGUUGGUUAAAUCAAUUUCACAGCGACUAAGGAUAAUGCGAAUUAAUGUAUCAUUAUCCAUUCCCCAACCGCUUAUUGCAAUUUUCAACCGUUCAGCAAAAUAAGCUGGUCGAUUGCGGAUUGUUUUGACUGGCAAAUAACAAUACAGAUGAGAGAUAACAUUUCGUAGUUGCCGUAUUUUAAAAACAAAUAUACCUAUUGUUAGUAGACCAUUCAAUACUGCACCAGACAAUUUUGAUUUCAUUAGCUGUUCAAUAGUUUUCCCUGAAAUCUUUUCGUAUUCGUGGAAAAUUAUGGUAACUUGUCGACGGCGUUGGACGGCGAAACCGAAUAUGUCCAGGAAAACAUUUACAUUUGUUUCUAUUUUUCGCUCACCUACGUAUUACAUAAUUUUGGCCUUCUCUUUUGCUUUAACUGGAUCGUAAGCACAAUCGCCAAAACCAUUACUCUGGUCUGUCAUUUUCUACAAAUGUAA